ensembl:lncRNA
AUGAGCAGUGGAAACAGAAGAGGUUUAAGAGUGAGAGGUGGUGGCCAGGGUAGAAGGAGAAGAGGAAGAGGAAGAGGAGAUAGAGAAAGAGAAAGAAGAGCUGAAGAUGUAGGAGGAAGAGCUGAAGAUGUAGGAGGAAGAGCGAGAAGAGCUGAGGGUGUAGGAAGAGGAGAAGAGAUUGAAGAGAUGGAUAGAUUGGAGGGCAAUGGUAUAGUGGAAAGAGAAAAUAUAAGAAGAGGUGGACAGGGAGGAAGAGGAGGCCAAGGUGUAAGAGGAGGGAGGAGAGGUAAAAUGAGGGUAGGGUACACACGUGUUUCAAAUGAAAUCAGAGCCACACUUAUUGACCAUGUCAUAAAUCAUGGUCUCUCACUGAGAGAAGCUGGCCAGAGAGUUCAGCCCAAUAUAAACAGAUCCACAGUGGCUUCAAUUAUCCGUACAUUUCAGAGGGAAAAACGAAAUGAAGUUAGAGAACAUUUAGGUGGACGAACAAGACUUUUUUUCAGUUGAACAAGAGCAUGUCAUUGUUGACAUGGUGGUCCAGAACAACACCCUCCGCCUCAAAGAAAUUCAGCAAAGAAUAACACAGGACAAUCAACUGUUCCACAAUAUCCACCAAUGCAGUCUCUCCACAACUGACCGUGUUCUAAGAAGAAAUGCUAUCCGAAUGAAGCAAGUAUACAAAGUGCCCUUUGAGAGGAACUUUGUGAGAGUGAAGGAGUUGCGAUUCCAGUUUGUUCAAGUAUGUGCAAUCCAAUUACUGCAAUUUUACUGUCAACUCAAAGAUAUAUUUUUCCUGAAUUUUAAGUAUGUGUCCAUAAACUAUUCCAUGCCACUAUAUGUGAAAAGAUUUAGGCAUAUCUAUGUAUACUGCUGCUUCAAAGUGUGAACUCAAACUUCAGCAACAAUUUUACAGUAGUAUUGACUGCAAUCAGAGCCAUUACUGUAAAACACAAAUUUACUAUAUUUUACCUUGUGUUCUUUUUACUCUUGAGAAUCUUGGAGUUAGAUAGCAGUGCAACUCAUUAUUAGUACCUGUAUAUUGAUGAAGCAGGCUUCAAUCUUCAAAAAAAAGGAGAAGAGGGAGAAAUGUGAUUGGCCAUUUUGCUACAGUCAAUGUCCCUGGACAACGAGGAGGCAACAUCACUCUCUGUGCAGCAAUUUCUACAACUGGUGUUGUGGCACACAAUGCUGUCUUGGGACCAUACAACACAGCAAGGCUCCUACAUUUUUUAAACCUCCUCAAUGAAAUCCUCUUUCCGCAGGGUGAUCAGGAGCAAAUUGUGUGGAAUUUUGUAGUUGUUUGGGACAAUGUCCAAUUCCACCAUUCAGCACUAGUGCGAGAGUGGUUUGAGAAUCACCCACAAUUCAGGAUGGUGUUUCUUCCACCAUAUUCUCCUUUCCUGAAUCCAACUGAGGAAUUCUUCUCCUCUUGGAGAUGGAAAGUACAUGAUCGCAACCCUUACAACCAAGUAAGUCUUCUUCAAGCGAUGGAAGAGGCCUGUGGAGAUAUUGGGGCACAAGCAUGUCAAGGACAGAUACAGCAUUCAAGGAGUUUUUUUCCCACGAUGCAUGACUCGUGAAAAUAUUUUCUGUGAUGUUGAUGAAAUUCUCUGGCCAGAUGUAAUUGAGAGGCAUGAUCAAUAAAAUAAUUGAUUCAAUGAAUGCAGUACAUUUAUCACUUUAUUUUUUAUUUACCUAUGUACUUAUUUGCAUUAUAUAUAUAUAUAUAUAUAUAUAUAUAUAUAUAUAUAUAUAUAUAUAUAUAUUUGUGUGUGGGGUGACAACUUAUUGUUAUACACCUGAACUCCUCAUUAAAGAACUUAAUGAAAAACAUGUAUUUUCAUUUAUUUCUUUGUGUAUCUUCAGCUGAAUUUGUUAUAAAAUCAACAGAACACACUUUUAGUUUUGAUGUUAAUAUUGAAUUUUAAUAAAUGCAUUACUAGAAUAAAAUGCUGUGUUUCAUUGUGCAGUGAAUACUUAACGGUUUCGCCAGCAUAAGAGUGUGUUUAGUUUGCUGUGUUAACUGUUUUGAGAGCUGUUACCUGAGUUUGGAGAAAUGUACCAAAUCGAUUGAGAAAAACUGUAAUAGCUCAGAAUACAAGAGAAGACAUUAAUAAGCCCUUUCGUUUGGUACCCAGGUGUGAAAUGUAGCUAUGACUUGGCUCAGAGAGGAGGGACUCUGUGUUCACAGAUCUGACAUGAUCUAAUGUGUCUGACAGAGACUUAGAUGAAACAGUUCAGUCUGACUCUUCUCAGAGUGAACACUUGUACAGUGGAUCUUCAUUCAUUCAUUAUUCUGCUCUGUGCCUCAGUAUAUACAUUCAUUUUUAUUUAUCUCUUUUUAAAAAGGUUGUUUUUAAGAAAAAAAUCACUGAAGCACUAAAUGUACAUUUUCUUUUUCAGCUGCUGUCUUUGGAAAUGUCAUGACACCAAAAAGGACAGUUAUGUGCUGAGGAGAAUUCAGAUGUUACGUUAUCUUGUAAUUAUGCGUCUGCAAAUUAUCUCUACAUAUGUCAAGUACUUCUCACAUUUUCACUGAACUCUUUAUUAAGAGUGUGACUGUGGCAAAUUCAGCUCUCCAUUACUGUGCUUUAAGAGUUGAAGCCCAGUGAUACAAAACAUGCAACAAGUCAUACAAAAACUACAAGCCAUUUUCACUUUAAAGCUUUUAUUAUUAGAUACUGUAAUAACUGCAAACACCUGUGUGAGGUUGAGGGAAGAAAUGUUUUACAAAAGGAAUAAAAAGGCAAACAAAUGGUAGAAGGAUUGUAACUGUAAAAAAUGUACUUUCACUUGCUUUAUGAUUAAGACAUUUAACAUCAUGUGACUUUAUUUCAGCUGUGUAACACUGGCAAGAAACCAAAAGAGGGCAAUAUCUCUCAGUAUCACACUAACAGAGUGGUUUCCUCCUCAGAGUCCUAUAUUAUUAUGAAAGCAAACCUGUCUUAUAUAUUUUGACUUCAUUGUUUGAAACAGAUCAUUAAGUGGUCCAGGAAUAUAUUUCUAUUUGCACUAUUCAUUCUUGGUAUGUAUUUCCACACAUUUUAAGCAGUUAGAUAACUCAUUUGUAGCUAUACUGUUUGUUGACAUGGAUUUUUUGAUACUCAUCAAAAACCAUAACUACAUCAAAUAUUCAAAUAGAAUGCAGAUCAGAAGACAAAGUUGAUCAGCCAGAGAAAUACGUGACUGCAGUUGAAGGAAAAUCAGUGACAUUAUAUUGUACAUAUACAACAACCUCAACACAACCAUACUGUACCUCUUCUGGUACAUCCAGAGAGCAAAUGACCUUCCUCUAGAUACAUACUGAUGAGAGACAAAUAUGGAGGAGCAGAUAAUGAUGCUCAGUUUCAGGAGAGAUUUCACUCUAAACUAUCGUCAGAUUCAGUUCCACUUACAAUCCAGGAUGUGCGUGUGUCUGACUCUACUGUGUAC